GCUGAAAUUUGUAAGCCCUGGAGAACCUUUUAUCAUCAAAUAUUUAAAGUUUGAAUUAAAGUCUCAUCACUACAUUAAUCUGCCAGUUGGAUUCAAACCUCGUUCAGUAGGCAAGUUUGAGGAAUUGUUGGUUGUACAGACAAAUAGUUAUGGAGAUAUCAGUAUUAAGCUUACUGGUGAAAGUUUUGCAAAGGUAUAACCUUUGGCAAAUGCUUGUAGUUAUCACUGGUGACUGAACAAAAUGGAUUAUGAUGUCGCAUGAAGACAGGACGUCUUUGAUGAUCUUGACUGCUGCUACUUUAAAUAAGACUUUUUUCUAAAUUGUCAGCUGGCUGAUUUGCACUUUCCCUUUCAAGGACUAUAUCAGAUUUUUAUAAUUUGUAUGAGCACUACUUUCCUAUUUAUUUAUGGCCUUUUUUUGUUAUAAUUCAAUGAAGUUGUAUAGUUACUUGUUUUCACCAAUAUGUCCAUGAAAUAGUAUAAUAAUCUUUUCUUGUCCAUCGAAAAAAUAUAUGUGCAUUCGUUUAAUAUUGUUUUAAAACACUGUAUUUUAAUUCCUUAUUGUUAAUAAAGAACAACCUGUAUAUA